rfam:Danio rerio chromosome 4, GRCz11 reference primary assembly.
GCCUGGCUAGAUCAGUCGGUUGAGCAUGAGACUCUUAAUGUCAGGGUUGUGGGUUCGAGCCCCACGUUGGGCG